rnacentral:rRNA from 1 species
ACUACGGGUGGCAGCAGUGGGGAAUAUUGGGCAAUGGGCGCAAGCCUGACCCAGCAACGCCGCGUGAAGGAAGAAGGCUUUCGGGUUGUAAACUUCUUUUAUCAGGGACGAAGCAAGUGACGGUACCUGAUGAAUAAGCCACGGCUAACUACGUGCCAGCAGCCGCGGUAAUACGUAGGUGGCAAGCGUUAUCCGGAUUUACUGGGUGUAAAGGGAGUGUAGGCGGGAGUGCAAGUCAGAUGUGAAAACUAUGGGCUCAACCCAUAGCCUGCAUUUGAAACUGUACUUCUUGAGUGCUGGAGAGGCAAUCGGAAUGCCGUGUGUAGCGGUGAAAUGCGUAGAUAUACGGAGGAACACCAGUGGCGAAGGCGGAUUGCUGGACAGUAACUGACGCUGAGGCACGAAAGCGUGGGGAGCAAACAGGAUUAGAUACCCCUGUAGUC